rnacentral:rRNA from 1 species
GUAGUACGCUGGCGGCGUGCCUAAUACAUGCAGUCGAGCGGACCAAAGAAGAGCUUGCUCUUCGGCGGUUAGCGGCGGACGGGUGAGUAACACGUAGGCAACCUGCCUGUACGACUGGGAUAACUCCGGGAAACCGGAGCUAAUACCGGAUACGUUUUUCAGACCGCAUGGUCUGAAAGAGAAAGACCUUUGGUCACGUACAGAUGGGCCUGCGGCGCAUUAGCUAGUUGGUGGGGUAACGGCCUACCAAGGCGACGAUGCGUAGCCGACCUGAGAGGGUGAUCGGCCACACUGGGACUGAGACACGGCCCAGACUCCUACGGGAGGCAGCAGUAGGGAAUCUUCCGCAAUGGACGAAAGUCUGACGGAGCAACGCCGCGUGAACGAUGAAGGUUUUCGGAUCGUAAAGUUCUGUUGUUAGGGAAGAACCGCCGGGAUGACCUCCCGGUCUGACGGUACCUAACGAGAGAGCCCCGGCUAACUACGUGCCAGCAGCCGCGGUAAUACGUAGGGGGCAAGCGUUGUCCGGAAUUAUGGGGCGUAAAGCGCGCGCAGGCGGCUUCUUAGGUCAGGUGUGAAAGCCCACGGCUCACCGGUGGA